rnacentral:rRNA from 1 species
UACGUAGGGCGCAAGCGUUGUCCGGAAUUAUUGGGCGUAAAGAGCUCGUAGGCGGUUUGUCGCGUCUGCUGUGAAAACCUAAGGCUCAACCUUGGGCUUGCAGUGGGUACGGGCAGACUAGAGUGCGGUAGGGGUGACUGGAAUUCCUGGUGUAGCGGUGGAAUGCGCAGAUAUCAGGAAGAACACCAAUGGCGAAGGCAGCUCUCUGGGACGGUACUGACGCUGAGACGCGAAAGCGUGGGGAGCGAACAGG